rnacentral:lncRNA from 1 species
AUGGACAAGACAGUUUUCAGAAAGAAAACAGGGGCAGAGACCAUGCCUACAACUUCAGAGAUGCACACCCAGAACCAGGAGAUGCCAGGCCUACAGACCGGGAUUCAAGCAGGGAGCGAGGAGUACAGCCCACAUAACAGACAGGCUCCCUUGGACACGGCCUGCGGAGGCACAGCGACCCACGAUUUCAGUUCUCAGCUUUCUGCCCAUGAUCUGCUGUUGAGCACUGGGUUAAUCUGGGCUCAGCUCACCAAGGAUAGUGGAGGUGCCCACUACCACCCCCAAGGGUCAUAUAUGGGUCAAGUUCAGCACCUUGUGCAUGUGGGGGCUGCAGGAAACUUGGGGGCAGAGUCAGCAGCCCCUGAGCCUGGUCACUGGUGGACACAUGGCUUGGAAAGCAGCUUGGUGAGGUGGGAGACCUUGGUGGGGACCAGGCCCGCCCUGCUAUUUCAGGGGGUGGAGAGAGGCUGGUGGUGGGAAGUCCUGGUGUUCUGCAGCACAGGGCAUGACUGCUGAGAGCUGGCAGAGUCUGAAGACCUCACCACAGAGACACGUUCACUGUCAAAGGAGCGGAAAGUGCCGACUACCAGGAUGUGCUCACCACACACGUCGUGGGCAACACCAAACCGUCACAGUGUGCUCCACAAAAGUACCACACUGUGAGCCAAUAAACAAAGUGCCUGGUAUAAAAAUCCUGGGUGAGAAACAUCUGAUGAAUGAAUGAGUGAAUCAGUGAAUGAACAACUCCAUCUAUUUCCAAUAAAGUUAAAAC